rnacentral:rRNA from 1 species
UAUGGCUCAGGAUGAACGCUGGCGGCGUGCCUAACACAUGCAAGUCGAACGGACCUUAUAUGACAGAGACUUCGGUCGACGAAGUUUAAGGUAGUGGCGGACGGGUGAGUAACGCGUGGAGAACCUGCCCUGUACUGGGGGAUAACAGUGAGAAAUUACUGCUAAUACCGCAUAAGCGCACGGGACCGCAUGGUCCUGAGUGAAAAACUCCGGUGGUACAGGAUGGCUCCGCGUUGGAUUAGCCAGUUGGCGGGUAACGGCCCACCAAAGCGACGAUCCAUAGCCGGCCUGAGAGGGUGAACGGCCACAUUGGGACUGAGACACGGCCCAGACUCCUACGGGAGGCAGCAGUGGGGAAUAUUGCACAAUGGGGGGAACCCUGAUGCAGCGACGCCGCGUGAAGGAAGAAGUAUCUCGGUAUGUAAACUUCUAUCAGCAGGGAAGAAAAUGACGGUACCUGACUAAGAAGCCCCGGCUAACUACGUGCCAGCCGCUGC